GAUGAACGCUGGCGGCGUGCCUAAUACAUGCAAGUCGAGCGAACGGACGAGAAGCUUGCUUCUCUGAUGUUAGCGGCGGACGGGUGAGUAACACGUGGAUAACCUACCUAUAAGACUGGGAUAACUUCGGGAAACCGGAGCUAAUACCGGAUGAUAUUUUGAACCGCAUGGUUCAAAAGUGAAAGACGGUCUUGCUGUCACUUAUAGAUGGAUCCGCGCUGCAUUAGCUAGUUGGUAAGGUAACGGCUUACCAAGGCAACGAUGCAUAGCCGACCUGAGAGGGUGAUCGGCCACACUGGAACUGAGACACGGUCCAGACUCCUACGGGAGGCAGCAGUAGGGAAUCUUCCGCAAUGGGCGGAAGCCUGACGGAGCGACGCCGCGUGAGUGAUGAAGGUCUUCGGAUCGUAAAACUCUGUUAUUAGGGAAGAACAUAUGUGUAAGUAACUGUGCACAUCUUGACGGUACCUAAACAGAAAGCCACGGCUAACUACGUG
rnacentral:rRNA from 1 species